rnacentral:rRNA from 2 species
ACGGAAGGCAGCAGUGGGGAAUAUUGCACAAUGGGCGAAAGCCUGAUGCAGCGACGCCGCGUGAGUGAAGAAGUAUCUCGGUAUGUAAAGCUCUAUCAGCAGGGAAGAAAAUGACGGUACCUGACUAAGAAGCCCCGGCUAACUACGUGCCAGCAGCCGCGGUAAUACGUAAGGGGCAAGCGUUAUCCGGAUUUACUGGGUGUAAAGGGAGCGUAGACGGUUUGGCAAGUCUGAAGUGAAAUGCGGGGGCUCAACUCCUGAACUGCUUUGGAAACUGUCGAACUAGAGUGCAGGAGAGGUAAGUGGAAUUCCUAGUGUAGCGGUGAAAUGCGUAGAUAUUAGGAGGAACACCAGUGGCGAAGGCGGCUUACUGGACUGUAACUGACGUUGAGGCUCGAAAGCGUGGGGAGCAAACAGGAUUAGAUACCCUGGUA